rnacentral:tRNA from 1 species
CGGGGUGUGGCGCAGCCUGGUAGCGCGCUCCGUUCGGGUCGGAGAGAUCCCCAGUUCGAAUCUGGGCACCCCGA